rnacentral:rRNA from 1 species
GACGAACGCUGGCGGCGUGCCUAAUACAUGCAAGUUGAGCGAUGAAGAUUGGUGCUUGCACCAAUUUGAAGAGCAGCGAACGGGUGAGUAACGCGUGGGGAAUCUGCCUUUGAGCGGGGGACAACAUUUGGAAACGAAUGCUAAUACCGCAUAACAACUUUAAACAUAAGUUUUAAGUUUGAAAGAUGCAAUUGCAUCACUCAAAGAUGAUCCCGCGUUGUAUUAGCUAGUUAGUGAGGUAAAGGCUCACCAAGGCGAUGAUACAUAGCCGACCUGAGAGGGUGAUCGGCCACAUUGGGACUGAGACACGGCCCAAACUCCUACGGGAGGCAGCAGUAGGGAAUCUUCGGCAAUGGACGAAAGUCUGACCGAGCAACGCCGCGUGAGUGAAGAAGGUUUUCGGAUCGUAAAACUCUGUUGGCAGAGAAGAACGUUGGUGAGAGUGGAAAGCUCAUCAAGUGACGGUAACUACCCAGAAAGGGACGGCUAACUACGUG